rnacentral:tRNA from 1 species
AUUUGUGUAGUAUAAUAAUUAUAUUUGACUUCCAAUCAAAAGAACUAAUAAAAUUUAGUACAAAUA